GCGGCUAAAGAGACCUUCAGGCACUUCCAGUCCUUUCUGCACUCCUGGAAGGUUUUUAAGGAAAAAAAGAAGAAGAAAAUAAAAUGACACAUCCUUUGGUUUCGAUAGCACCCUCUGUACUUGUACUUAUCUCUUAGACGUGGUUGGCCAAAAAGUCUGCUAAAAAUAUAAUGAAAGGGAGGCGGUGGAGUGUGGGGAGAGAGAAAUAAAACACUAACCCUGUUCAUUUCUGCCUGCCUCCCACCACAAAUUCACCACAACAUUUAAGUGUAGCUCCAUCUGCCCCUCUUCUCAGUCCCUUUUUGGCGCUUGACUGUUAUUUUUUCAAUAAAAGGGAAAAGUACUCUCAUUCUAUUCUUUCUACGGGGCUCCAGAGUCUCGGAGACUGAGAACAUCUCUCUAGCCUGAAGCGGGUCUGAAGUCUUCUGAGAUCACUGCUUCCCGGGAGUUUCCAGGAUCUGUUCAUCCACGUCGUCACUGGAGUUUGCCCAAAAGGAAGAGAGGAGGAGAGCCCAGCAGGAGCGGUCCGAGUUUCUGCAAGACAGAAAGAGAGAACCUCAUUCUUCCCAUUGUGCUGAGAGAGGCACAGAGAAAGACAAAACCAUCGCCUGGGGUCACAGAGGGCAGUGGCUGUGAUGGAUCUGAGGCCAACUCCAUCCCCAGAUCCUGCCUAGCAACUUCCUUCUGGGACGAAGGACCCAGGACAUGUCACAGUCCCUCUAAUUCAUCCAGCCCAACAUCUGUCCUCUGAACCCUGUGCACACUCAUCCAGAUGGCACAGAACGGCCACCUUUCUGGGAAGCAGAAUUCUCUAAGGCUUUGAGGCUAGGUCUUAUGGGAUUGUC
rnacentral:lncRNA from 1 species